UUCAAGAAUUAUGUGAACCCGAGAGUGGACAGCAUGACUUGGGAAGAGUUUGCAAACGAGUUUGCAGGAUGGGCUUUCCCUGAUAGUUCAAGGGAAUUGAAGAUGAUAGAAUUCGAGCAGUUGAGGCAAACUGAUGACAUGAGUGUAGACGAAUAUACUGAUAGGUUUAUGGAGUUGCUGCCAUUUGCUGGGCAAGACCUUAGCACAGACCAGAAGAAGUCGAGGAGGUAUAUCAUGAAGCUCCAUCCCAGGUAUUCCUC
rnacentral:lncRNA from 1 species